rnacentral:rRNA from 1 species
CAGCAGCCACGGUAAUACAGAGGCCCCGAGCGUUGUUCGGAUUCACUGGGCGUAAAGGGUGUGUAGGAGGUUGGAUAAGUCAGGUGUGAAAUCCCGCAGCUCAACUGCGGAACUGCAUUCGAUACUGUUCAACUAGAGGAUCGGAGGGGGAAGCGGAAUUCUUGGUGUAGCGGUGAAAUGCGUAGAUAUCAAGAGGAACACCGGUGGCGAAGGCGGCUUCCUGGAAGAUACCUGACUCGGAAACACGAAAGCCAGGGGAGCGAAUGGGAUUAGAUACCCCGGUAGUCCCUGUCUCUUAUAC